UUGUACACACCGCCCGUCACACCACGAGAGUUUGUAACACCCGAAGUCGGUGGGGUAACCUUUUUGGAGCCAGCCGCCUAAGGUGGGACAGAUGAUUGGGGUGAAGUCGUAACAAGGUAGCCGUAUCGGAAGGUGCGGCUGGAUCACCUCCUUUCUAUGGAGA
rnacentral:rRNA from 2 species